rnacentral:rRNA from 1 species
GAUGAGCGCUGGCGGCGUGCUUAACACAUGCAAGUCGAACGGACUUUACAUGAAGCCUAGCGAUUGUAAAGUUAGUGGCGGACGGGUGAGUAACGCGUGGGUAACCUGCCUUGUACAGGGGGAUAACAGUUAGAAAUAGCUGCUAAUACCGCAUAAGCGCACAGCUUCGCAUGAAGCAGUGUGAAAAACUCCGGUGGUACAAGAUGGACCCGCGUCUGAUUAGCUAGUUGGUGAGGUAACGGCCCACCAAGGCGACGAUCAGUAGCCGGCCUGAGAGGGUGGACGGCCACAUUGGGACUGAGACACGGCCCAA